GGAGGUAUAAGAUAAAUCUACUCAGCUGAUAAGAAAGUGCAAUUAUAAAUAAUCAUUCGUGAUGAUUAGUCCAUUUCAUCUUUCUAUCCAACAUUAAAAAGAUCAAAUGUUUACAGGGCUAGGCUUAUCAACUGAAAUGUUGCCAAAAAAAUUCCCUCGCAAUUCUGCUGACUACUUUUAACAUCUGUACUGUUGCAUUAUGUGCCAAGCGUACAUUUAUGAUUCACUCAACUUGAUAAAUUUCUUUUUUUUUUUGUUUGAAAUUCUGUAUUCUAAAUGAGCUUAGAGAGGUUCGGGAUCAAUGUAAAUGCAUAUUAAAACAGGUAUCUACUGCUUUAGCUAUCGUGGAAAACUUUACCUCCCAAAUUUCAUAGUCAGAGUACUGGUCUAAUGGAUCAAGAUUUCCUCUAACUGUUCCUUCGAACAUUGUAGGAUCUUGGGGGAUGAUGCUAAGCCUUGAUCUCAAGUCAUGAAGCCCUAUUUUGGUGAUGUCCACGUCAUCAAUUAUGAUACUUCCCUCACUGGGCUCUACAAUCCUAAAGAUGGCCUGAAUGAGAGUUGAUUUACCACUUCCUGUCCUUCCAACAACACCAACUUUCUUCUUCCCAGGAAAUGUGCAGGUUAUACUCUUUAAUACAGAUGGUAGAUGCUCAGCAUACCGGAUCUGUGGACAGACCAUGAAUAGUUUCAUUAUCAAAAACAAAAGCCAAAGAGUAUAGAAGACUUACUCUCAUGCUCUGUCUAUUCUUUAUUUGCAUAUUUUUUCUACAGCUCAUUAGUAUGUAAUGCAGCAGAUUAUGCACAACAAAAAUGAUAAUGUUGCACUUAGAAUUAAGCAUAUUAGUUACGGGAUUAAUGAACCUUUUUGUUCUGAAAACGAACUUACCUUUAAGUUUGUGAAUUGAAUUGUUCCGAUAUCUGGCCAAUUUCCUGGUGGUCUGUGAUCUUCAAUAACUAAGGGUGCUUCACUGGCAAUGUUCGAAUACUGAAGAAUCCUUUCCACUGAUAUCAUUUUGUUAUCAGCAUUGCAUAUAUUCCAAAUAACUGAAGCUUGCUGAACAUUCAAAUUGAUGCCAUAUGUUACUGCCAGCCCGGCAAUGCCUGUAGAAUAUUCACUAGGUAAGUCUUUGCAAGAGCAUGCAGUAAAUGAAGGAGUUUGAUAUAGUUUUUCCCACAGGGGCUUAUGCCUUUCAUGGAUUAACGUCCACCAUUUGCACUAUGACAGGAGUACUUUACAUGUGAUCAGUGAUUAUAUACUUAGAAAUGCAGUAGUUUCGAUGCUUACUGGGAUCUAUGAUUCCAUCUGGUAGAGUCACAAGCAAAACGAGUGAGAAGGCAAACACAAAGUUGGAUAACUGAUUCAGUCUGAAAGAAAGCCACUCCAUUGCUGACACAUUGUGAAACCAUGGUCUUGAAUGGUUGUCGAUGAGACAGAGGUUUGAGUCAAUGAAGCGACAUUUUUGGUCAAAAGCGCGUAUUGUUGCUGCUCCAGCUAGUGACUCAGCGAAGUGAUGGAGGAUUGGAGCUCUCUGUAUACCAGCUAAACGUGCCAAUUCUCUUGCCGUUGGUAUGUAAUAUCGCUGAAAAUUUGAUGAAUAGAUGUAGGAUUAUACUGUAAGGAUUUGCUAUGUGGCAACCUGAAAAUUGCAUUAAAAUAUGUCUAAUCGGUCUAAAAUAUUUUGCAUGACAGAUUUGUUCCUGCUUCCUGCUAAAAUCUGAAUGUAGAACUGUAGUAAUAAGCUUUUGAAUAUGAUUCAGGAUUUCUCCCUCUGAGGUUAAGUAUUAUAAAACAGCUUUUGAAUUCUCCAAAGAAUUGACUUGAGUGCAAUAGCAAGGGUCAAAAUGAUUUACCUGGUACCAUAUGCAGAUGGCUGUGACAGGAAUGAAGAGGACAAACACUUCCCAUGCUACCUGCGACAUGACUGCUAUGGUUCCAAGUAACUGGAUAAUUGAGAAUGCACACCAGCCUAUUUUGUUUGCCAACUCCAAGUCUAGGACACUUUGAUCUGUUGAUGCCUGUGCAUGACAUAAAUGGUUGUUUUCAUUCUUAAACACUAUAUUCCGGAGUAUCAAGAGAAAAAAAACGUGAACUCCAUGAUAUCAGAAAUCUAAUAGUGUGAAACUUAAAUUUGCCUCAUAAGUAGUAUACUGAAACCUUUGCCUUUCCCAUGCAUUUGGCCCAAUUUAUGCGCUCCUUUGUAUUUAGGAUGAUCAAUAGGCUCCAAGAACUCAUUUUCAAGUUUAGGCAGCGCCCAUGAUUAAGCAAGUAUGCAUUUAAUAUCUGAGCUUGAAUAUGCCUAGCAUGUAUCCAUUUCUUGAGGAGCUAGUCAGUCAUAUAAUAAUCCCACCAGAUAGAUUUGGUCAAUUAAAGAUGGAGUAUUGCCCAUUUCAUGCGGAGCUUGUCAGUCGCAUAGUUAUUCUCAAUUGGUUGAAAAAGCUAGCACUAUUUGAUGAAGCAAUAGAUGAAUUUUGUCCAGUACAAACAACAAAGACGGUUAGACCAUUAGAGGAAUAUUAUAUGGUCAAUUCCUUCAGAUAUCCUGCUUACUGUCUCUCUUCUUGAUAUCAAGUUCCUGUAAAUCUUGCAAAAUGUAGUAUGUCAUUGAAGGUUGGUUAAUUUGCUGCCUAUCAUACAAUUUGCUUAUUUUCUUUGCUACAAACUGAUUGGAUUUGAUAAAACUUUCAAAUGAUAUAAGUUCUCUAUGCCGAGUUUCAUCUAGCAUAGACUAAAUGUCUUGAUGCUUAUGACAUAUCAGACAAUAACAGAAAACCAUAAUUUGCAAAUUCAGAUCAAUUAGCAGCUAUACAGACACUUAAGAAUUGGUUUUUUCUGUUAACCUAUCUCUUGAUCUGCUUUCUACUUUUUAACUACAGAAAUUCUUAACUAGCCUAUGCUGAAGCUCUUAAUGCCUACAUGAUAAGAUUAACUCCAAGACAGACAGCCAAAGUAAAGAACACUAAAAAAAUUCAAUGUUGCACGAAAGUUUUCAGCUUCCAAUGACAACAAUAGUUAAAUAUUUUAUCCUGUUUAAUCAUGCUUACGUACCCUGUUUAAAAUUCUUCCAGUUGGAGUUGAGUCAAAGAAAGCCAUAGGAGCACGAAUAAUGCUGUGCAGCAUGUUGCUGAAUAGCUUCUCUGAGGUCAAAAGGCCUGUUAUAGCCAAUAAUGUGGCUCGGAUCAGCAC
rnacentral:lncRNA from 1 species